GCUCAUCCUAACAGAAACAUGGGAACCAUCAAUCUUCCGCUGGGUUUCACGUCGACGCUGAAACAUGGUAGCAACAGCCGAGACGUAACUUUGAUCAUGCUAACGCAGGAAAACUUUAACGUAGGGGUCCGAGGUUCCUCCCAUGUCCAUGGCAGCGAGGUCCUGAGCCUGGAGGAUCCCCACUAUGAGCUUCAGCAGAAAGAAAAACGAAUCAAACGUGACGUUACAGCUGAAAACUGGAAGUUAUUCAUGCAUCUGUGAGUUCUGACAGAUUAGGGAUGCAAGUUAUCGUUCAAUGAGGAAACGUUUCUCCAUGAUUCACCGUGGAACAGCAGACGAGGUGAGACUGGCUGCGGAGCGAAAAGCAACCCACCUUUUCUCCGGACUCCCCGUCUCCUUCCUUCUCCUUCCUGCGCCGACCUCCGGCCUUCCUCCCCCUCUCUUUCUUCGGCUUUUUCUUUUUCCCAAAACAUUUUUUGAAAACGCAGAAGAUGAAGCAGGCCACCAGAACCAGGACCAGAACAACGAUGGCCGCCACUGCCCACACAGGAACUACAGAAGAGCGGCGAAUUAGCUCCUGCCAUUUGAGAUUUUUAAUCCCUUCAACUCUUUUAAAUUAACCGCAUUAUUUCACGUUGGUUUUAUUUGCUUCUGUCUCAUCCGCAGGGAUUUUCAGUGCAGCCACUUAUCUGCAGACAGUUUGCUGAGUGUGUUUGGUCAGUAAACACUUUCUUCCCCACAAUCAGAUAAUAACACUCCUGGAGCUGAGAGCAGACGAGUAAAAACAUCAUAAUUAUAAGUCAUUCCUUUCCCACUGUAAUCUUUAGCUUCACUGGAUCAUUUUGCUUUAACAGAACUGAUUCCUGAACACAUGAACACACAAACAUCUCAAAGACUUGAUGUUAUUGAACGUAUUGCACAUUCUGUUCAGCUAAAAAUGUAAAUUUGAUGCAUUUCAAUGGGAUUUUGUCAAAUAAACCAACACAAAGUGAUAAAUAAAAGUGAAAUUCUGCUGUAAAUAUUACACAACUGCUUAUAAUUUUUGAUAAAUAUCUACUACAGAACAUCGGUUCUCAUGUUUAAAGAACCAUCGUUUUAUUUCUGUUUUUAGACUUUAAAAUAAAGAUUUACGCAACAUUUUUAGAUACAUUUCUUCUAAGGGAUGUUGAUAUUUGUGGAAAAUGCAAAGAAAAAUUAUUCAUUUUAUUUCCUCUUAAGUUUAUUUAUAAUACUUUAUGUCUGUACGCUCUGAACUUUAUAUUUUUCGUUUGGGCAAAAUUUAAAUCAGCUUCAGAUUUUGGAUUCAGAAAACAUACAAAGUUGUGGCAGAUCUAUUCAGUCUAAUUCUAUGCUUUUUUAAAUUUAUUUUACAUUAUAUUUAGAAAUCUUAAUUGCACUUUCUGAACCAUUUGGAAGAAGGUUGGUCACAGUUGUCUUUAGAUGUUUCAGUUUCUUUACUACAUAUUUUAUAUUGGCUGUUCUAUUCUUAAUUGAACUGACUGAACAAAUUAAAGUUGUUUUUACAUGUUUGACCAAA